GCCUGCGGCCACGCCUCCCUUAAGCUACGUGCUCUUUGGACCUCACAAGUUCAGCACGGGCAGGCCUAGUUAGUACUUGGAUGAGAAACCUCAAAGGAAACUAGCCAGAUGUUGCAGGUC
rnacentral:rRNA from 1 species